ensembl:misc_RNA Y_RNA Y RNA
GGCUGGCCCGUGUCAGUGGUGUUUACAAUUAAUUGAUCACAACUAGUUACAGAAUCCUUUGUUCCUUCUCCUUCCCCACUGCUUAACUUGACUAGCCUUAA